GCGUUCUCAACGGGGUGCUGAAACAGGCUGAGAAAAUACCCGUCGAACCUGAUCCGGAUAACGCCGGCGAAGGGAUUUGAGGCUUUGCUCAAA
rnacentral:ncRNA from 2 species